rnacentral:pre_miRNA from 11 species
AAUUUAUUAACAUACCUGGUUGAAGUCGAACCAAAUUGUCAUAUUGUCAGAAUCAAUUGGUCCCCUUCAAGCAGCUAUGUUUUUUUUAUCAA